rnacentral:rRNA from 1 species
CUGGCUCAGGAUGAACGCUAGCGACAGGCUUAACACAUGCAAGUCGAGGGGCAGCAUAAAAGUAGCAAUACUUGGUGGCGACCGGCGCACGGGUGAGUAACGCGUAUGCAACCUACCUAUCAGAGGGGAAUAACCCGGCGAAAGUCGGACUAAUACCGCAUAAAACAGGGGCACCGCAUGGUGAUAUUUGUUAAAGAAAUUCGCUGAUAGAUGGGCAUGCGUUCCAUUAGGUAGUUGGUGAGGUAACGGCUCACCAAGCCGACGAUGGAUAGGGGAACUGAGAGGUUGGUCCCCCACACUGGUACUGAGACACGGACCAGACUCCUACGGGAGGCAGCAGUGAGGAAUAUUGGUCAAUGGGCGGGAGCCUGAACCAGCCAAGUCGCGUGGAAAAGGAAGAAGGAUCUAUGGUUCGUAAACUUCUUUUGCAGGGGAAUAAAGUGCAGGACGUGUCCUGUUUUGUAUGUACCCUGAGAAUAAGGAUCGGCUAACUCCGUGCCAGCAGCCGC